rnacentral:rRNA from 1 species
UGGGGAAUAUUGGACAAUGGGCGAAAGCCUGAUCCAGCCAAGCCGCGUGUGUGAAGAAGGUCUUCGGAUUGUAAAGCACUUUAAGUUGGGAGGAAGGGCAUUAACCUAAUACGUUAGUGUUUUGACGUUACCGACAGAAUAAGCACCGGCUAACUCUGUGCCAGCAGCCGCGGUAAUACAGAGGGUGCAAGCGUUAAUCGGAAUUACUGGGCGUAAAGCGCGCGUAGGUGGUUUGUUAAGUUGGAUGUGAAAUCCCCGGGCUCAACCUGGGAACUGCAUUCAAAACUGACUGACUAGAGUAUGGUAGAGGGUGGUGGAAUUUCCUGUGUAGCGGUGAAAUGCGUAGAUAUAGGAAGGAACACCAGUGGCGAAGGCGACCACCUGGACUAAUACUGACACUGAGGUGCGAAAGCGUGGGGAGCAAACA